rnacentral:lncRNA from 1 species
AAAUGCUUGGUAUGGUUGCUAUAUAAUAAUUAUCGUAGAAUGCAUGAUGAAUAUGCUAUGUAAAUGCUGGAUGAUUGCAUGAAUUGGAUCGAUAACUCUAUGAUAGAGACCUUGACAUUGGACAUCUAUAUAUUAGAUCGAGUGGCACUUAACCUAGAGUCAGGAACCUAGGUUGAACAUGGAUGAUAUGAACCUAGUGUGAAUAAACAUAGGUUGGACAUGAACCUAGUGUCAAAGAACUUAGGUUGGAAUCAUGUGUGGCAUUAAACCUAUUGUUAAAGAAC